GACGAACGCUGGCGGCGUGCCUAAUACAUGCAAGUCGAGCGAGCGGAACCAACAGAUUUACUUCGGUAAUGACGUUGGGAAAGCGAGCGGCGGAUGGGUGAGUAACACGUGGGGAACCUGCCCCUAAGUCUGGGAUACCAUUUGGAAACAGGUGCUAAUACCGCAUGAGACCACAGCUCUGCAUGGAGCAGUGGCUAAAGGAGAAAUCCGGUGAAGGGUGGGCUCGCGUCCGAUUAGCUAGUUGGCAGGGUGAUAGCCUACCAAGGCGACGAUCGGUAGCCGACCUGAGAGGGUGAUCGGCCACAUUGGAACUGAGAUACGGUCCAA
rnacentral:rRNA from 1 species